GGGCAAAAAAGCUGAGGUGGAGGCUGCCACUCUGCUAAAUCUCACAUCAGAGUCAGGCAGCACAGCUGAAAUGAAGGAUUUGAGGGCAGGGAGAAAACAAAGUCAGACUUUGCUUUUGCUUCCUGGGAUUCUCCCUUUUGCUCUUUGCUGCUACCAGGCAGCUGUGCCCACACCCAGGGGUCACAGCACUGAGCCUUGUGUUGCCACCCAGUAUGAGCCAAGAUCUGUUGCAUUCAUCAGUGACUUGUGGCUUCCCACUCAUGACUGGGCCUCACAACUGAGGUUUUGGGGAAAGAAAACCCCUUGUCACGGAGAGACACCAUUUGGGGCCUCACUGGUGGCAACUGUUGUGCAGAUCCCGAAGUAAAAACUUCCUUACACGCACUUUGUUCACCUCUUCGUGGUCAAAGUAUCUCUUACAGGUCUUGAGAAGUCAAAAACUUAUUUAGAGGAGUCUUUGGAACAAGGGAAGGAAGUGGAGGAGGUGGAGGUGGAUGAAGCCUGAUCCCUGAGACCUUCCAGCCUCUGAUACAAAUCACAUUUCCAAGCCCUCUCUGUGCCUUGUGAUCUGCUCAUCCUUAGGGUUGCUAGUAAAGCAGUUCACAACCCAUCUUUUUUUAUUAAAAACAAAAAUGAAAGCCAUAAAGUUGCCAGAAUGGUUUAUCUCAAAAGGCUUUUAAGCAGAGACAUCUACUCAUCCCACUUUGAACUGGAAAAAAACAGUAAGUGUGGUUGAAAUCAAAACAAAACAUAUUGAUGGGCCCAUAUGUUGUUGAUUUCUGGGUGUUUUGUUCCCAAUUUUUAGUCACAACCAUGAGGGCUUUUUCUGUUCCUUUCUAUUAGGAAAUGUCACUGUUCUGCCAAUUGGUUUCCAUCCUAUUUCAGCAUUUUUUGCAAUUGCUCUGUCUCCCAGAACACAUCCACGGUAUCUGUCACUAGAGAGGCUGUGAAUAGGAAUAAAAAUCAACAACAAACAGCUCAGAGGGGAAGAUGAAACAAACAGCAGUGGCUGGGGGAAAGUUAAUUUGAUCUGAAGCAAAAUAUUUUUUUCCCGAUGUCCUGAUGGAUUUUUCUGUUGUUGUUGUUUUGUAAGAAAUUCCCUGCAAAAGAUGUCGACUCUGAAGAGUCCUUUGUACCAGGGCAGAAAGCAGCAACUGCACAGGGAGACAAGAGUAGAUCUCCUCUCAAAGCUCAGAGCAAAGAGAAGGUACCAGAAGGGCUGUGUUUGAAAGCAGAAGGACUUUCCAAAACCAGAAGGCAUCAGGACCUCAGAAAGAGCCAACAGAGAGGGAAAGUGGAUUCCCGGAGGAAUAAGAUCCUGCUCCACAAAGACAGCACCUAUUCCGUGUGGUUAAGGACAGCACACGUGUCAGAGAAAAACAGAGGGAAAAGGAAUGAGCCAGGAGCACCUCAUGUGCAGAUUUCCUGCUCGAGCCCCUGCUGAAGCUCCAGGAUGAAGCUGGACACUGCACACAAAAGGAUGUGACCAUGAAUUCCUACCUGGAUCAAAUUAUAUCCCGUUCGCUGAAUUAAG